rnacentral:lncRNA from 1 species
AUGUGCAAACUUCCCCUUUGGUGUUCUAUAGUAUUGCUGUUAUUCCCAGUCCCUGCAAAUGCCAGGGUGUGGAUGAACCAGUGGUCCUCAAAGAAUGCUUACAUAGUAGGGGAAACAGCUGCUCUUAAUUGCAACAUAACCUCAGAUCAUGAGGAAAUAAGAAAUUGCAAAAUGAGAUGGAUCAUUGAAGAUCAAGGUGAUGUCACAAGUUUGGAGUUGUAUAAGCAUCGUGUCAACAUGAAUUUGAGCAAAACAGCUACUACUAUGACAUUGAGAAACCUGACCUUGAGUGACACCAUUAUGCCAAUUUGCAUCGCAAAGUGCAUCAUUGACAGUGUCAACAGCAAGGUUUAUGGGGAGGGUGGCACACUUCACAUUUUUGAAGACAUCAACCAGAUGACCCUGGUCUCAAAGUUGACAACACUGGUCCCAAAGGAAAUCAAACAGGAACAUGCUCUCACUUGGCUGAACCAUGUUUUUCUCAGCAUAAACAUCCUGAUUUUCAUUGUGGCCACAAUUAUUUGUGUGUCAUACAUCAGAACCCAAAUGAAUAUGAAUUAAAAAGGGAUUGCAUUAGUUGUUAAAAUAUUGCCUGAAGCACCCUUCCAAGUUAUAGCCUAAAGCCUAUGCUCUAACACCUUUAGUAAACUGUAAACCGUGAUUUGAAAUGUUUUCGGAACAAUAGCUUUCUUCAUGCACUGCAUUUUUAUUGUGUUUUUAGGCCUGUUCAUAUUUUAUUACUCUAAUGUAUAGAAUGUAUGCCUACUGAUAUAGUUUUUACUGUCUUGUAUUAUUAUCUGAAAACAAACUAGGUAAAGGUGAAAGGUGACAAGCAUCUGGUAAAUGCAUUCCAGAUUAGAGUGAGCAAAAGACUACAUUUGAUUUACUUUCCUUUAGUAUCCAUGUGGACAUUUUGAAUACAGUUGACAUAUAUUAAUUUAAUUGUGUAUCCUAAUCAUAAUCAUUGCUAUUGAUAGAAUAUAGAUUAUUUUUCACGUCUGCUCCUGCUCUUCCCCCCCAGGUGCUUGAGGGUGCCAGGCUGCCCUGCAUCACUCACUCCUAUCAUCCACUACGCACACCUGCCUUUCCUUGUCAUGCUCUUCAGCUAUAUUGGACUCACUUAUCUGUUUAUUACCUUGCCUAUAUUUGUCAGUUUCCCUGCUGAUGCAUUGAUUGUUUUUUGUCUGUAUUAUUAGUUUACUGACGCUGUUCCUGUCUCAUGUCCGUUCUUUAUUAAAUGUUUGACUCCCCGUACCUGCUUCGUCUCUCCAGCGUCAUUCCAUGUGACACUAUGCACGAUAUGGAUACAUUCUCCCACACACCAGCCUGGUCUCAGACUAGAUGUAACAUAGUAAACAUAAGCCCGGGAUACUGAUAUUAGUAUAUGUUAUUUUUGGUAUAAUUACUUAAGGCAAAAGUAGGGUGGUUGGUCAGGGUGAAUGAGUGAGCGUAUAACACGAACGUCUAGCAACUGUCGGUGUGAAUGGGUGGGCAUUUAACACGUAUGUCUAGCAACCCAAAAGGUUACGUUUGAAUCUAAUCUUGGAUAACUUCAGCAACUUUGCAACUACAUACUACUUUUUAGCUACUUUGCAACUACUUAGCAUGUUAGCUAACCUUAACCCUUUAACCUAACCUUAACCCUUUAACCUAAUCCCCAGCCUAACGUUAGCCACCUAGCUAACGUAAGCCACGACAAAUUGCAAUUCAUAACAUAUUAUAUAAAAUGGAUUAUGGACAUCUACAAAUGUAUACAUACCAUACAAAAUGUAACAUAUCAUUGUAAUUGGAGUGUCCCUGAUGUGAUUUUACUAUGUUUUGUCUACUUGAAUCCAGGUUGCAGCCACACACUACGCCAGGGUUUCCCAAAGUUGCAUGAUGAUGAGUUGGUUAUUUGAAUAAGCUGUGUAGUGCUAUGGCAAAACCCAAAACAUGCACCCAGGAGGGGGACCCAGGACCGAGUUUGGGAAGCCCUGCACAAGGCUAGGCUACAGCUGCCUCUUUUACUUUUGUGAGGCAAUUCCUAUAUCACCAAAAUUUCUUUGUGUAGCCUAUAAU